rnacentral:rRNA from 1 species
UACGUAGGUGGCAAGCGUUGUCCGGAAUUAUUGGGCGUAAAGCGCGCGCAGGUGGUUUCUUAAGUCUGAUGUGAAAGCCCACGGCUCAACCGUGGAGGGUCAUUGGAAACUGGGGAACUUGAGUGCAGGAGAGAAGAGUGGAAUUCCACGUGUAGCGGUGAAAUGCGUAGAGAUGUGGAGGAACACCAGUGGCGAAGGCGACUCUUUGGCCUGUAACUGACACUGAGGCGCGAAGGUCAGGGGAGCAAACGGG